AUAAAACGGUGCCAUGAACUGUUUCAUUGUAGCGAAUUUGUGAUAUUUUACGACGAGAAAAAUGCCGCAAUAAAUAAAAAGCAGUUGCGACGUAAGUAAAUGACAGGAUUGUCAUUUUAAUGGCAAAUUACCUUUAGUAUUUGUAUACGAGGGCGGCAAAACCCAACAAAAACAAAACUUUUCCCCCUCGAUUUUGGUUUCAGUACACUCCCAAAAACCCCCUCAUUUUCAUCUGCUUCAUCGAUUUCCGGCUACUUGCAACUGAAUCCACCUCACUACGUUGCCAUACGGCUUCCCUUAUCCACAGAAAACCAGCCCUAGUAGCAUCGUCCACCCAUUUGGAAAUCCAUGCAAGCUAGACCCUUCGAAUGGGAAUCAUACGAUAAAGCCAGCCAUUAGCGCCAAAAAUCUCCUCCCCUUUUGGGUCCAAAAUCUGGACUUUGUGUUAUUUGGUAAGCCUCUAUUUCGAGAUCAACCACGCCCCGUUUCCUGCUAAGAGAGAGUUUCCCAUGUAGCCUCCCCGUCCUCUCCUUCACUCGCUUCUCACCAAUUUCGAGUCCCUUUUGCUUUUUCCAUCCAAAUACAGAACCCGACAAUUUGUUGUUGGGCAGAGAAUUGGAGGUGGAGAUCCUCGCGAUUCCUUGGCAAUUCUCACGCAUGCACCACGGCUGGAUCUUUGUUUGCACAAUACUGAAGGGGAUCUAUCCAUUUGUAUAGUCGCAAGGGUGCAAUGAAGUUGUGGAUGUUCCAGCCACCAAUGUUUCAUCACAAUAUGAACUGGGUGCAUCUGAACCUCUUGACUAUUGUGUGUUUAUUGAGAGAUUACAUCGGAGAAAAUAUCCAUAUGUAUGCUUGUAAGAUAUAUUAGCUGCUUCGAUUUAUAGUACUUAGUUGCCUUUCAUUAAUGGACCAUUGAUCCAGUGUAUAGAUUACUAAAAGAAUCAAUACAAUGUUGUAUUGGAUGAUUGAAUAUAUUUAUAUUAUUAAAAAAUGGAAUGAUUGUUAAA